rnacentral:tRNA from 1 species
GCGUCUAUAGCUCAGUAGGAUAGAGCAGCAGUUUCCUAAACUGCGUGUCACUGGUUCGAUUCCGGUUAGGCGCA